UAGGGAAUCUUCGGCAAUGGACGAAAGUCUGACCGAGCAACGCCGCGUGAGUGAAGAAGGUUUUCGGAUCGUAAAACUCUGUUGUUAGAGAAGAACAAGGACGUUAGUAACUGAACGUCCACUGACGGUAUCUAACCAGAAAGCCACGGCUAACUACGUGCCAGCAGCCGCGGUAAUACGUAGGUGGCAAGCGUUGUCCGGAUUUAUUGGGCGUAAAGCGAGCGCAGGCGGUUUCUUAAGUCUGAUGUGAAAGCCCCCGGCUCAACCGGGGAGGGGCAUUGGAAACUGGGAGACGUGAGUGCAGAAGAGGAGAGUGGAAUUCCAUGUGUAGCGGUGAAAUGCGUAGAUAUAUGGAGGAACACCAGUGGCGAAGGCGGCUCGCUGGUCUGUAACGGACGCUGAGGCUCGAAAGCGUGGGGAGCAAACAGG
rnacentral:rRNA from 1 species